GCAGUGAGCGAGGCCCUGGUCCAUGUGAGGUUCAUCCAUCUGCUGCUCUGGCUGGGAGUGUUUCUGUUCUUUUCUGGAUGGCUCCAGAUUGGGCUCUGUCAACACCAAAGCCUCCCAGAAGUGGUGAUACCCCUGAGGAUAACUGGUGCUGACAGAGGCACGGACACUCAAGGCUGGCUGUCCUAUGGCCUGCAAGUUGGCAGCCAAAGGUACAUUGUCCACAUGAAGGUCAAUAAGCUUUUGAUAUUUUUGAUAUCCAAAUCCUUCUCUGUGUUCACCUACUCAGACCAGGGUGCUAUUUUUGAGGACCAACUUUUGUCCAGGAUGACUGCUACUAUCACAGUUAUGUGGAAGGGGACCCAGAAUCCCUGGUUGCUCUUAGCAGCUGUUUGGGGGGCUUUCAAGGAAUACCACAGAUAAAUGACACUGCUUAGGAAAUCAAGCCCAAAAGGGUUUCAGCCACAUUUGAACAUCUGAUAUAUAAGAUGGACAAUGAGGAGACACAAUUCCCACCCAUGAGAUGUGGGUUGAUAGAGGAAGAAAUAGCAAGACAAUUGAAGUUUCAAGAUCCUUCUACUCUAAUGCAAAGUGGCUUUGAGGGCUGGUGGACCCAUAAAUUGUUUGUUGAACUGGCAGUAGUGGUAGAUGAUGAAUGAUUCCUUUAUCUGGAAAGUCAUACCUCAAAUGUGCAGGAGGAAGUACUCAUGCUGUAUCAAAAAGCUGAUGCAUUUUAUAUUCCACUGGGUGCCAAUUGUCACUGUAGUGGGACUUGAGAUCUGGACUCAAGAAAACUUCAUUACAAUGGACACUGCAGGUGUUGGCCUGAAAGAAAUUUGCAAAUGGAAACAAACUAGCUUUAAUUCUUGCAUUCCUCAUGAUGUUGCACAUCUUAUUGUAAAACGCUCCUAUGGUAUUACUCUUGGCUUAGCCAAUGUUGGAACAGUAUGUUAUAGAGAAAGUAAUUAUGCAAUUAACAGUUUUGGACAUAACAGAGUGGGAUCUUUUGCACUCGUAGCAGCACCUGAGCUUGGUCAUAAUUUGGGUAUGACUCAUGAUACAAAAACAUGUUCCUGUGGGCAAAAAAGUGUAUAAUGUUUCCAACGGCAACUUCCACAAAAAGAUUCAGCAACUGUAGUUAAUGCUAGAUUUUUUCAAACCACUGUAACAACGAUCUGCAUGCAUGCUUCACCAAAUCGAGAUAGAAUCAUGACACAGAGGUGCUGUGGGAAUGGUGCGGUAGAAGAAGAGUAUGACCGCGGAAACUUACCAUCGUGUGAAAAGAGCCAUGUUGCUUUGCAAAUUGCACUUUCAAACCUGGGGCUGCUUGUGUUUUGGGGCUUUGCUGCAAAAACUGCCAGAUCAUGCCAUCGGUCGAAGUGUGCAGACAAGAGUCCAGCGAAUGGGAUCUUCCAGAGUGGUUCAACGGGACUUCGCAUGAGUGUGCAGAAGAUGUGUGUUUGCAGGACGGGAUCCCCUGCAAGGGCAGUGGCCACUGCUACGAAAAGAGAUGUAAUAACUGUGAUGAACAGUGUAGACAAAUUUUUGGCCAGGUAGCCAACAGUGCAAAUCAGAGUUGCUGCAGUAAUAUGAACAUCCGAGGUGAUCAUUUUGGUCACUGUGGUUUCAAUGGCACCAAAUAGGUAAGAUGUGAGGUCACAGAUAUCUUGUGUGGGAGAGUUGAGUGUGAGAACAUGCAAGAAAUCCCCCUUUUGAGAGAUCAUUCUACUCUGCACCGGACUCACUUCAUUGGUGUCACCUGCUGGGAUACCGGCUAUCGAAUGGGGAUAAGCACUCCUGAUAUUGGUGACGUGAAAGAUGCUACCGAGUGUGGUUCAGAACACGUCUGUAUGCACAGGAAAUGUGUCACUAUGUCACUUUUGAACAGUACCUGUUUGCCCGUGACCUGUAAUAUGAGACCUGUCUGCAACAAUAAACAUCACUGCCAUUGCUGCCGAGAGUGGAAGCCUCCUGACUGCCUGAGAGAAGGCACUGAGGGUAGUGUUGAUAGUGGCACCACCACCCCCAGGAAAAAGGGAGAAAAUGAGGUGUGCAAGCAAGGGGUGUAACACCAUAUUUAUGGAUUCCCUUUUUGCUUUUGCUUUGCUU
rnacentral:lncRNA from 1 species